AUGGAAAAAAAAACUCGCCAUUUUGUGGACCACCGCAAUGUGAAGCUACUGGCUGGAGCAGGUGGGAAAGGGGCCUGCACCUUCCAUAGUGAGCCCCGGAAAGAGUGGGGUGGACCGGACGGAGGGAAUGGAGGAGAUGGUGGGAACAUCAUCAAAAGUAGAUCAAAGUUGUGGAGAAACGCCAGCACAACCUACAUCGCUGUGCCAGUGGGCACGGUGGUGAAGGAGCAGGGGGAGACUAUGGCAGACCUCUCCCAGCAUAGCCAGGAGUACGUGGCUGUUUUUGGAGGGGCGGGGGGAAAGGGGAACCGCGCUUCCUGUCCAAUGAGAACCGUGCCCCAAUGAUGGCCACCCCGGGAGAGAGAGGCCAGGAGAGUUGUCCUCCAGCUGGAGCUGUGUACCAUGACCCAUGCUGGACUGGUUGGGUUUCCCAAUGCAGGGAAGUCUUCUCUUCUAUGGACCAUCUCCAAUGCCAGGCCUGCUGUGGCUACCUACCCCUUCACAACCCUCAACCACACGUCGGCAUUGUUAAGUACAGGGACCAUGAGCAAGUGGCAGGGCAGCAUGUGAGAGUAAUGGACAAUAAGUGGGCCAGAGUUCUGUGGGACUACCUUUGUCUGCACCAAUCUCUGGAAAAGAGUGAUGUCAUAAUAGGCCUGGGUUGCCAUGAUGUGCGUGUGGCAGAGAGGUCAGCUGAUCUCUUCCUGGAAGGAUUGGCUCCUUGGCUGCUUUUCACUGGUUACUUAGGCAACCAGACUGCAGGUGUGUGGACGAGGCCAGAAGCUGACGUGUUCUUGGAUGUUGCUCUGAGGAUGGGAGUGCCCAGGAGGAACAUACUGCUGGAGACAGAGGCCACCAACACUGGAGAGAACAUCCGCUUCUACAGGCUCCUCAAGGAGAAUAACAUCCCAGCCCACAGGGUGAUCCUGGUCCAGCAGCCCUUUAUGGAGCGCAGGGUUUUUGCUAUCUUUCUGCACCAGUGGCAUGACCAGGGGGAACACACGCAUGCCAUCGUCACCUCCCCCCAGAUGGGAAUCUCUGCCUACCCCCACUUCACAGCACUUACAUGCUAGGUGUUCUAGAGAGGAUCCGUGACUACCCACAGAAAGGCUUCCAGUUGGAACAGGAGAUCACACCCAGUACUCUCUCUGCCUACCAAUGGCUCCUGCACGCUGGCUACUUUCCCAGGUGAAUGCACAACACACAUGCCCAUGCAUGAACGCCUGCACACACUUCCACGUACACACACACACUUGUCCCUAUGUUUUGCUAUUGUUGAUGCUGCUGAUAAGUUGGGAUGGUUAGGAAUUGAACAUUAAAUCACAGUAAACUUAUAUUUAGAAAAUAUGUUUGUUUCAUUGAAACCGUGAAUUGAGAUGCAUGAAAAUAUACCACAGAACUCUGCAUUACUACAUAAGUAAAACUAAAUGAAUGUAAAACAAUUACCUUUACCUAGAUACCAAUAAACACAUAUAGAAUAUACAUUCAAAGCCAACACCAAUA